CACUAUAUAAAAGGUAAACCAGUCAACGCAUCUCAUAGAGAUUUGGGAACUGUUGAUGCGUCAAUUUCUCCUCUAUCCCUUCAAUUAUUUUGUGACACGUAUCCUUUCUAUUUUUCAUGUGGCGUUAUUCUUUCAAUUUGCGUUUUUUCUGGACUAAAUUAGAUACCGGUUACCGGUUGUUACAUGCUCUUCCGCUCGCCCCUCCCGGUUACUGCACGUUCUCUAAAAAUAUAUCUACCAAGUAGGCCCCACCUUCACCGUUUGGGGCCAUCUCAGCGCCGCUUUGACCGAUCCAGUAGAACCCAGUAGAUUCCUGAACGCUCAGACGCCUGUCCCGGCUGGCCUAAAUUCACGCCGUGCUGCACGCCUCCACCGCCCUCCCCCUUCCCCCGAUCCGCCGCCGCCGAGCUCCCCUGUCCGAUCUUCUUCGUCGCCGGCAGCGCCGUGUGUCGGAUCCUCACUGCCGUCGCGGCGCCCACCGAGGAAGUCCGGCUUCCCCGCCGGCUGGUUUGUCAUGUCCGUGUUCGAAGGCUAGCAGUGCGGCCGCCACGUCCGCUCCUACUGGCUACCAGGUACAGAUUUUCGUUCGCUUUUCCUCCGCUCGUGAAUAUGUUCGCGUUCGCCAUGGUUUCGUCGACGAGGGGGCAGAGGAUAGGCGGGGGUACAGGUGCCGCGAUUGCACAGCGGGAGCCUGGAAGGAAGGCAGUGGUGAUUCAACAGCGGAGACAUCGAUCCCAUGGUCGCUCAGGCUGAAGAUGUGUAUAGAGUAUCGACAAGAAUUUGGGUGCAUAAGAAGGGGCUGGGCCUAUGUGGCUAUGUGUAUGUCAUUUCCAGUAAGAAAAUUCCAAGAAUCAGAACCUGUUGUGGAGAUAUAUCACUUUCGUGUCUGAUGAAGCUGAACAAACGCUUGCUACUUUUCCAUCGAAUAUGCAAUCUUUAAGCCUUGGCCACAAUGCAAAAGCUAUCAAUCUGUGUAAGGUGAUCUAUUGUUCAGAAAGGUGCAACCAGUGUUUCUCUGUUGGUGUGUUACUCAGCACGCCAAAGUUAAGGGUUCUCGCACUAUCGAAGGCUGAUUCAACUGUCACAAGUUCAUUGAAAGAUGCCAUUGUCCACUAUCUUCCCUACAACCUAAAUGAGCUGAGUCAUGCGUACAUGCUACCGGGUACAGAUCUACAUGGUACAUGGAAGGUUCAGUUAUAGAUCAUCUUAUAUGGCCAUUUUUCUGGGGUUCAUAUAUACUCCAUUGAUGAAUACUGAUGAUUAUCCAUGAGUUCUUCACAUAGUUGCUACCAUGGAUAUAUUGAAUUAUAAGAGUGAUACUCUUCUCCUGUUGUAUUUGGUUGCCUUCGAGUAGCAUGUUAUCGAUUUAUGGCUGUUGAGUGCAUGUUCUGUUUAAUAACACCAAAUAAGCAUGAAUGUCAGAAUGAUCUUGACAGUUAACAGUUUUUAAGGUUAAUGGUUUGUAUGCUUUAAGGGAAAUGGAUAUUCCUCCGUCUACAAAGUGGCAUUUCACACUUCAAUGCCAGUAGUAUCCAGUUCGCUUAGUAUCUAUGCUAUGCAAUGAAAAUUAAUAAAACCAAGGGCAGACACUUGACAAGGCUGGUGUUUAUUUACCAAAGCCUGUUUUUUCGCACUGACAGUUUUGUAUUACUGUUUCAAGGGUAAUAUCGAGGAAAGGAUUAAGGAUACUUGCACUUGAUGAAUAUGGGGAACCAACUACAUAAACAAGGAACAUAAUAUACCAAGAAGUACUUGAUAAUCUCUAGAAAUAUUGUUUCAUCUGGCUCUCAAUUGCAAGUGGCAAGUAAGGUUACUUGUGACCGCCUGUCCAUGUUUGCCAAGGCUUCAGAUAAGUCGUUUACCCUAUAAUCCAAAUUCAGCUCCAGUGAUUGAGUAUGUACUAGAUCCUUUUGGAUUAGUGAGAUCACAUGACACGUACAGAUGCACUGUAUGAUGUACUGACAUGCAAGUCAGACCAAUUACAUUACGAAUCAAGAUCAUGCCACUGCGAUUAACAGAUUCAACAUAAAUUUCAAGGGGCAGUGGUUGCAAAAUCCUUGACCUGUCCAUAUAGGCUGGGACAGCUCCAGAGACUGAAGGUUUUGUUUAAGCGAUGCGAUUUCUGUUGAAUGGCAGCGUUAUGUUUCUCUGUGUGUCUGUACUCUGUAACCAACAGAGUGAACCCUACCUUCUGUUUUAACUAAGUUUGUGUAACUCCAGAUUGAUGUAACCAGUUCACUAACCAAUUGAUCAAUCAUUAUGCCGUGUUUGUACUA